UACGGAGGGUGCAAGCGUUGUUCGGAAUUACUGGGCGUAAAGGGCGCGUAGGCGGUCUGCUAAGUUCGGUGUGAAAGCCCCUGGCUCAACUGGGGAACUGCGCCGGAAACUGGCAGACUAGAGUACCGGAGAGGAGGGUGGAAUUCCUGGUGUAGCGGUGAAAUGCGUAGAUAUCAGGAGGAACACCGGUGGCGAAGGCGGCCCUCUGGACGGAUACUGACGCUGAGGCGCGAAAGCGUGGGGAUCAAACAGG
rnacentral:rRNA from 1 species